AUUGAUAUAUUGAAAUUGUUGUAUGUUUGUGUAAAAUUUUAAUGUAUAUAUUUAAGUUUUUGAAUAAAAAUUUUUUUUUGGUUAGAGAAGAGAAAAUUGUAAUUAUGAGGGAGAAGUAUAUAGUUUUGAUGAAGUUUAUCGUAUUUGUUUUGGAGUAUGUGAGGAGUAUUAUAGCGGUUUUUGUAGAAAUAUUUUAUGAAAAAUGGUUUUA
rnacentral:misc_RNA from 1 species